GGGCGACUAGCUCAGCUGGCUAGAGCGUCUGUCUUACACACAGAAGGUCGGUGGUUCGAUCCCACCGUCGCCCA
rnacentral:tRNA from 1 species